rnacentral:rRNA from 1 species
CGGCGAGUGAAGCGGCAACAGCUCAAAUUUGAAAUCUGGCCCUCGGGUCCGAAUUGUAAUUUGUAGAGGAUGCUUUUGGUGCGGUGCCUUCUGAGUUCCUUGGAACAGGACGCCUUAGAGGGUGAGAGCCCCGUACAGUUGGACACCAAGCCUUUGUAAAGCUCCUUCGACGAGUCGAGUAGUUUGGGAAUGCUGCUCUAAAUGGGAGGUAAAUUUCUUCUAAAGCUAAAUAUUGGCCAGAGACCGAUAGCGCACAAGUAGAGUGAUCGAAAGAUGAAAAGUACUUUGAAAAGAGGGUUAAAUAGCACGUGAAAUUGUUGAAAGGGAAGCGUUUAUGACCAGACCUUCGUCGGGCGGAUCAUCCGGUGUUCUUCACCGGUGCACUUCGCCCGGCUUAGGCCAGCAUCGGUUUUCGUAGGGGGAUAAAGGCCUAGGGAAUGUGGCUCCCUCCGGGGAGUGUUAUAGCCCUGGGCGUAAUACCUUUAUGGGGACCGAGGUUCGCGCUCCGGCAAGGAUGCUGGCGUAAUGGUCAUCAACGACCCGUCUUGAAACACGGACCAAGGAGUCGAACAUUUAUGCGAGUGUUUGGGUGUUAAACCCUUGCGCGUAAUGAAAGUGAACGUAGGUGAGAGCCCGUACGGGUGCAUCAUCGACCGAUCUUGAUGUUUUCGGAUGGAUUUGAGUAAGAGCAUAACUGUUCGGACCCGAAAGAUGGUGAACUAUGCGUGGAUAGGGUGAAGCCAGAGGAAACUCUGGUGGAGGCUCGCAGC